GAUGAACGCUGGCGGCGUGCCUAAUACAUGCAAGUCGAGCGAACGGACGAGAAGCUUGCUUCUCUGAUGUUAGCGGCGGACGGGUGAGUAACACGUGGAUAACCUACCUAUAAGACUGGGAUAACUUCGGGAAACCGGAGCUAAUACCGGAUAAUAUUUUGAACCGCAUGGUUCAAAAGUGAAAGACGGUCUUGCUGUCACUUAUAGAUGGAUCCGCGCUGCAUUAGCUAGUUGGUAAGGUAACGGCUUACCAAGGCAACGAUGCAUAGCCGACCUGAGAGGGUCAUCGGCCAGCCUGGAACUGAGGAACGGUCCAGACUCCUACGGGAGGCCGCAGUAGGGAAUCCUCCGCAAUGGGCGAGAGCCUGACGGAGCAACGCCGCGUGAGUGAUGAAGGUCUUCGGAUCGUAAAACUCUGUUAUUAGGGAAGAACAUAUGUGUAAGUACCUGUGCACAUCUUGACGGUACCUAAUCAGAAAGCCACGGCUAACUACGUG
rnacentral:rRNA from 1 species